GUAGGGUGCGAGCGUUGCCCGGAUUUAUUGGGCGUAAAGGGCGCGCAGGCGGCCCGGCGCGUCCGCGGUGAAAGCUCCCGGCUCAACUGGGAGAGGUCCGCGGAAACGGUCGGGCUGGAGCAAGGUAGGGGGUCGUGGAAUUCCCGGUGUAGUGGUGGAAUGCGUAGAGAUCGGGAGGAACACCAGUGGCGAAGGCGGCGACCUGGACCUGUGCUGACGCUGAGGCGCGAAAGCGUGGGGAGCGAUCCGGAUUAGAUACCCGGGUAGUCCACGCCGUAAACGAUGCACACUAGGUGUCGGGGGUAUCGACCCCCUCGGCGCCGCAGCUAACGCAUUAAGUGUGCCGCCUGGGGACUACGGCCGCAAGGCUAAA
rnacentral:rRNA from 1 species